rnacentral:rRNA from 1 species
AUUGAACGCUGGCGGCAGGCUUAACACAUGCAAGUCGAGCGAGCGGCGGACGGGUGAGUAAUGUCUGGGAAACUGCCUGAAGGAGGGGGAUAAUUACUGGAAACGGUAGUUAAUACCGCAUACCAUCAGAUGUGCCCAGAUGGGAUUUGCUAGUAGGUGGGGUAAUGGCUCACCUAGGCGACGAUCCCUACCUGGUCUGAGAGGAUGACCACCCACACUGGAACUGAGACACGGUCCAUACUCCUGCGGGGGGCAGCAGUGGGGAAUAUUGCACAAUGGGCGCAACCCUGAUGCAGCCGUGCCGCGUGUGUGAAGAAGGCCUGCGGGUUGUAAAGCACUUUCAGCGGGGAGGCGUUACUCGCAGAAGAAGCACCGGCUAACUCCGUGCCGGCAGCCGCGGUAAUAC